UACGGGGGGGGCAAGCGUUGUUCGGAAUUACUGGGCGUAAAGGGCGUGUAGGCGGCCAACUAAGUCCGACGUGAAAUCCCCAGGCUUAACCUGGGAACUGCGUCGGAUACUGGAUGGCUUGAAUCCGGGAGAGGGAUGCAGAAUUCCAGGUGUAGCGGUGAAAUGCGUAGAUAUCAUUUGGAACGCCAAUGGUGAAAACAACUCGCUGGGGAAGUGCUGACGCUGAGACACGAAAGCCAGGGGAGCGAACGGG
rnacentral:rRNA from 1 species